GACGAACGCUGGCGGCGUGCUUAACACAUGCAAGUCGAACGGUAAGGCUCCAGCUCGCUGGGGUACACGAGUGGCGAACGGGUGAGUAACACGUGGGUGACCUGCCCUGCACUUCGGGAUAAGCCUGGGAAACUGGGUCUAAUACCGGAUAGGACCAUGGUGUGGAUACUGUGGUGGAAAGUUUUUUCGGUGUGGGAUGGGCCCGCGGCCUAUCAGCUUGUUGGUGGGGUAAUGGCCUACCAAGGCGGCGACGGGUAGCCGGCCUGAGAGGGUGGACGGCCACAUUGGGACUGAGACACGGCCCAGACUCCUACGGGAGGCAGCAGUGGGGAAUAUUGCACAAUGGGCGGAAGCCUGAUGCAGCGACGCCGCGUGGGGGAUGACGGCCUUCGGGUUGUAAACUCCUUUCACCAUCGACGAAGGGUUUCUGACGGUAGAUGGAGAAGAAGCACCGGCUAACUACGUG
rnacentral:rRNA from 1 species